rnacentral:rRNA from 1 species
CCCCUAGAUGUUCUGGGCCGCACGCGCGCUACACUGAACAGUUCAACAAGUCUUAACCUUGGCCGAUAGGUCUGGGUAAUCUUUGAACGCUGUUCGUGAUUGGGAUAGACCUUUGCAAUUAUGGGUCUUCAACGAGGAAUUCCUAGUAAACGCAAGUCAUCAGCUUGCAUUGAUUACGUCCCUGCCCUUUGUACACACCGCCCGUCGCUCCUACCGAUUGAAUGGUCCGGUGAAGCGUUCGGACCGUGGCCUUUGGACGGUUCGCCGUCUGUUGGCUGCGGGAAGUUCGUUAAACCUUAUCAUUUAGAGGAAGGAGAAGUCGUANCA